GAGAUGGGUGGAUCACUUGAGUCUGGGUGGUUGAGGCAGCAAUGAGCUGUGAUCAUACCACUGCACUCCAGCCUGGGUGACAGAGCAAGACC
ensembl:miRNA